CAAGAAGUUGCGAAAGGCUACUCCAACCCUUGUGAACUUACUGAAAAGUUGGGGGCUCCCUCACGGGGACGCAGCCCGCUCCUCAGGGUAGCGGGCAGCCGCCGGAGGAUCCGAAACUCUUGUAUUAUAGUGGCAUCUCUGAGUAGCUUAUAAAAUAAGUUA
rnacentral:misc_RNA from 1 species